rnacentral:rRNA from 1 species
UACGAAGGGUGCAAACGUUGCUCGGAAUUAUUGGGCGUAAAGCGCACGUAGGCGGCCUUGCAAGUCCCAUGUGAAAGCCCACGGCUUAACCGUGGAAGUGCAUGGGAAACUGCAGUGCUUGAGUACUUAAGAGGAUCGCGGAAUUCCCGGUGUAGAGGUGAAAUUCGUAGAUAUCGGGAGGAACACCAGUGGCGAAGGCGGCGAUCUGGGAAGAUACUGACGCUGAGACGCGAAAGCGUGGGGAGCGAACAGG